rnacentral:rRNA from 1 species
UACGUAGGGCGCAAGCGUUGUCCGGAAUUAUUGGGCGUAAAGAGCUCGUAGGCGGCCAGUUGCGUCUGCUGUGAAAUCCCGGGGCUCAACCCCGGGCGUGCAGUGGAUACGGGCUGGCUAGAGGCAGGCAGGGGAGAACGGAAUUCCUGGUGUAGCGGUGAAAUGCGCAGAUAUCAGGAGGAACACCGGUGGCGAAGGCGGGUCUCUGGGCCGUAACUGACGCUGAGGAGCGAAAGCGUGGGGAGCGAACAGG